AUUGAACGCUGGCGGCAGGCUUAACACAUGCAAGUCGAGCGGGGUGAUGGUGCUUGCACUAUCACUUAGCGGCGGACGGGUGAGUAAUGCUUAGGAAUCUGCCUAUUAGUGGGGGACAACAUCUCGAGAGGGAUGCUAAUACCGCAUACGUCCUACGGGAGAAAGCAGGGGAUCACUUGUGACCUUGCGCUAAUAGAUGAGCAUAAGUCGGAUUAGCUAGUUGGUGGGGUAAAGGCCUACCAAGGCGACGAUCUGUAGCGGGUCUGAGAGGAUGAUCCGCCACACUGGGACUGAGACACGGCCCAGACUCCUACGGGAGGCAGCAGUGGGGAAUAUUGGACAAUGGGGGGAACCCUGAUCCAGCCAUGCCGCGUGUGUGAAGAAGGCCUUAUGGUUGUAAAGCACUUUAAGCGAGGAGGAGGCUCUUUUGGUUAAUACCCAAGAUGAGUGGACGUUACUCGCAGAAUAAGCACCGGCUAACUCUGUGCCAGCAGCCGCGGUAA
rnacentral:rRNA from 1 species